GGGUAACUGCCCGAUCCCAUACAUUCCUUGCAUGGUUAAUAAAUUUAUUUUUCAUCUCAACCUCUGCAUACUUGAGCCAAAGAGUAUGAUUACGGUAAUCGACCUCAAGGGCACGCUCCCAAACAGAACGAGCCCGAUUGAAGUCCUUUUGAGACUCUUCCCAUUGAGCAUACUUGAUCCAGACACUAAUGUUCCACCUGACACGGCGUAUAAGGUCUUCAAACUCCUUCCGCUUGCGUAGGCGAUAAUCAGCAAGUUCAGUCGGAUCUGUAAUUUUUUGUUUGGGUGGUCUUAUUUCUGCCUCCUGUCGUUCUCGAGCCUCACGAAG
rnacentral:misc_RNA from 1 species